rnacentral:rRNA from 1 species
GAUGAACGCUGGCGGCGUGCCUAAUACAUGCAAGUCGAGCGAACAGACGAGGAGCUUGCUCCUCUGACGUUAGCGGCGGACGGGUGAGUAACACGUGGAUAACCUACCUAUAAGACUGGGAUAACUUCGGGAAACCGGAGCUAAUACCGGAUAAUAUAUUGAACCGCAUGGUUCAAUAGUGAAAGACGGUUUUGCUGUCACUUAUAGAUGGAUCCGCGCCGCAUUAGCUAGUUGGUAAGGUAACGGCUUACCAAGGCAACGAUGCGUAGCCGACCUGAGAGGGUGAUCGGCCACACUGGAACUGAGAUACGGUCCAGACUCCUACGGGAGGCAGCAGUAGGGAAUCUUCCGCAAUGGGCGAAAGCCUGACGGAGCAACGCCGCGUGAGUGAUGAAGGUCUUCGGAUCGUAAAACUCUGUUAUUAGGGAAGAACAAAUGUGUAAGUAACUAUGCACGUCUUGACGGUACCUAAUCAGAAGGCCACGGCUAACUACGUG